rnacentral:lncRNA from 1 species
CCGACCAGCGGGGCAUUGAUUCUCCGGAGAUGUCCUUCUGGCAACCCCAUUUUUUGGUAGGCAUGAUAAUACAAAAUGUUGGCUGAGCUUCCAUUGUCAACUAGGACACGCUUUACAUCAAACCUAUUUACAAUCAUUGAGAUGACCACAGCGUCAUCGUGAGGGGUCUCAACCCCUUCUAAGUCCUCGUCCGAGAACGAGAUGACUUCAUCAGUGCGUGGGCGCUUCGGGGGUGCUCCCUGGGCGGCCGU